UACGGAGGAUCCAAGCGUUAUCCGGAAUCAUUGGGUUUAAAGGGUUCGUAGGCGGUUUUAUAAGUCAGUGGUGAAAUCUGGUCGCUCAACGAUCAAACGGCCAUUGAUACUGUAGAACUUGAAUUACUUGGAAGUAACUAGAAUAUGUAGUGUAGCGGUGAAAUGCUUAGAGAUUACAUGGAAUACCAAUUGCGAAGGCAGGUUACUACGAGUAUAUUGACGCUGAUGAACGAAAGCGUGGGGAGCGAACAGG
rnacentral:rRNA from 1 species